CUACAGGUGGCAGCAGUGGGGAAUAUUGCACAAUGGGCGCAAGCCUGAUGCAGCCAUGCCGCGUGUAUGAAGAAGGCCUUCGGGUUGUAAAGUACUUUCAGCGGGGAGGAAGGGGGUAAAGUUAAUACCUUUGCUCAUUGACGUUACCCGCAGAAGAAGCACCGGCUAGCUCCGUGCCAGCAGCCGCGGUAAUACGGAGGGUGCAAGCGUUAAUCGGAAUUACUGGGCGUAAAGCGCACGCAGGCGGUUUGUUAAGUCAGAUGUGAAAUCCCCGGGCUCAACCUGGGAACUGCAUCUGAUACUGGCAAGCUUGAGUCUCGUAGAGGGGGGUAGAAUUCCAGGUGUAGCGGUGAAAUGCGUAGAGAUCUGGAGGAAUACCGGUGGCGAAGGCGGCCCCCUGGACGAAGACUGACGCUCAGGUGCGAAAGCGUGGGGAGCAAACAGGAUUAGAUACCCGAGUAGUC
rnacentral:rRNA from 1 species